AGUUUCUGAUGGGGAAGGAAGAGACAAUUGCGCAUCGCGUCCCUCAGGCGCGGUGCGGCCAGCCUGGGUGGCAUAAAAGGCGCAAGAAGUCAGGUCUCGCUCUCACUCCCACUCCCGUCCCGGACCACGAUUCACGAAGCGAAGCGGCUCCACGCUCAGCACCACGCCUCAUCGACACGUGGGCCAGUACCCUUACCACUUCUACGUUCUGUUUACUGUGUACACGAGAUUUCUCAAGCAAUUGGACUCCCUACCCGCUACUGGUCCCACAACUGAUGUUCUUCGAUCCUUUGGGGCCUUCCACAUCCCAGGCCGGUACCGCAGGGGCCCCCUGCCCUACCCAGCAAACCCUAAGGUGGCGAGAAGCCGGAUCACGCAGCAACUGCAACACGGAAGAGGGCUCGGGCGACGUCGCGUGAGGACAACAGCGCAGUGGUGUGAGGACGCAGCCGGCCUUCGCUUCGCCUCCCCCUCCUCGGGGGCCUCCUCGGGCGGCUCUGAUGUGGACGGCGACCACACUUCCCAGAGGCCACUGCCGGCAAAGCGGCGGGUGGCACAGCGUCGCAG